rnacentral:tRNA from 1 species
GCUAACGUAGCAAAACUCGGCCCUGCAAAAGACCUAAACUCUUCCCAUGGGGGUUCAAAUCCCCCCGUUAACA